UAGGACUCACGAAGAGGCAUUAAGCUGC
rnacentral:piRNA from 1 species